rnacentral:rRNA from 1 species
CCUACGGGAGGCAGCAGUAAGGAAUAUUGGACAAUGCUCGCAAGAGUGAUCCAGCCAUGCCGCGUGCAGGAAGAAUGCCCUAUGGGUAGUAAACUGCUUUUGAACUAGAGAAAACCCCAGUACGUGUACUGGGCUGAUAGUAUAGUUAGAAUAAGCAUCGGCUAACUUCGUGCCAGCAGCCGCGGUAAGACGAAGGAUGCAAGCGUUAUCCGGAUUCAUUGGGUUUAAAGGGAGCGUAGGUGGACUGAUAAGUCAGUGGUGAAAUCUCCGAGCUUAACUCGGAAAUUGCCAUUGAUACUGUUGGUCUUGAGUACAGUUGCUGUGGGCGGAAUAUGACAUGUAGUGGUGAAAUACAUAGAGAUGUCAUAGAACACCGAUUGCGAAGGCAGCUCACAAAGCUGUAACUGACACUGAGGCUCGAAAGUGCGGGGAUCAAACAGGAUUAGAUACCCUGGUAGUCCGCACCGUAAACGAUGAUUACUCGCUGCUAGGGGGCAACCUUUAGUGGCUUAGCGAAAGCGAUAAGUAAUCCACCUGGGGAGUACGCCGGCACGGUGAAACUUAAAGUGAAUUGACGG